AUUAUGCAAAUGUAUGUUUCUGAAUAGUAUAAAUAUUUGUUGUGUAAACGAAUCGAACAAAGUUAGAUUUGGGCAGAUAUGCCCCUAACUUCUGGCGCCUAAUAAAAGCACCUUCGUAUAAUCACUUUGUGGUUACGUGUCUUUGAGAACGCUAACAUUUUGGUGACCCAGAUGGGACCUCGUGGGCAUUGCUGAGGCAGCUCGUGAACUGAUCACACUCCAGCUGGCACUGAGGAGUUUCUUGGGGAGCCAUAGGCCGCAACCGACCCCGCUGCUCAAAAUGUACCUCUGGAAGGAUAGUAGAAAAUUAUUUGCCUUUGGAUGGGAAAACCCGCAAAAUGGACGAAAGACACAAUAAAAUUGGACAAGACUUC